rnacentral:rRNA from 1 species
GUCGAGCGAACAGACGAGGAGCUUGCUCCUCUGACGUUAGCGGCGGACGGGUGAGUAACACGUGGAUAACCUACCUAUAAGACUGGGAUAACUUCGGGAAACCGGAGCUAAUACCGGAUAAUAUAUUGAACCGCAUGGUUCAAUAGUGAAAGACGGUUUUGCUGUCACUUAUAGAUGGAUCCGCGCCGCAUUAGCUAGUUGGUAAGGUAACAGCUUACCAAGGCAACGAUGCGUAGCCGACCUGAGAGGGUGAUCGGCCACACUGGAACUGAGACACGGUCCAGACUCCUACGGGAGGCAGCAGUAGGGAAUCUUCCGCAAUGGGCGAAAGCCUGACGGAGCAACGCCGCGUGAGUGAUGAAGGUCUUCGGAUCGUAAAACUCUGUUAUUAGGGAAGAACAAAUGUGUAAGUAACUAUGCACGUCUUGACGGUACCUAGUCAGAAAGCCACGGCUAACUACGUGCCAGCAGCCGCGGUAAUACGUAGGUGGCAAGCGUUAUCCGGAAUUAUUGGGCGUAAAGCGCGCGU